UAUUCUUAUUUGGUGAGUGUUUUGGAGGGGAUUAUAUUUUUCUAUACACUUAUUUGCCAUAUCAGUAAGCAAAUUAAAAUUUGAAGAGUAAAAUUUAAAGAACUUUUUAGAGAUGCUCUGAGGUAGAUAGAUAAAAGCGGCUCGACUAAUCAAUAGUUUUCAAUUUUUCUUGUGUUGACAAAGAUUAGAUAAAAGCGUUUAUCACAAACGGGCUUUCGGCUUUCCCAUCCACAAAAAUUAUCUUGAAUCUUGAUGGAUUUUGCGAUGUUCAAUUUUUAUUGGGAUAAUUUUUAGGGACCUCCCCUGAGGUUUGGGGUAUUAACAGUCUGAGAGAAUGUAUGACCGUAAUUAUACAAACCUCCCUUGGCGUUAGUAUUUUGUAACGUUGACUGUUAGUGGACUGCUAAAAUUUCCAAAAUACCCUUGUCAUCAAAUAAGGAUGACGAAUAUUGUCGCCAACAUCACAAAACACAUAGAAAGACCAAGAUUCCCAUUAAUUGUAGAAAGAAUUGACAUUGCAUAAUAAUAAAUAAUAAUAUAUAAAAUUUGAAUCAAGCUACCAAUAUUGCUUUAAAAUGUGGUGAAGCUGGUGAAAUGCACAGAUUGCAUGGUUUCUGUUGAUGUGGAUUAGCAGUCGAUGAAGUUGUUGAGGGGAGUUUGACAAUGGUGGGAAAGCACCCUGAUCGCCUAGAUUUGGAUGGGCUUUUGGGGUUGGUUUUUCUUAUUUUGGUUUUAAGCGCUAAAACUUUUAUUAUGAGAUGGCUGGCGAGAAGAGGGUACAGAGGUUGAAAUCUGUUUUGAGGAAGCAUGGCGGAGAGUGGCGGUGGUUGGAGGCGACAAAGAUGAAGUUGGUGGUAGAUCGGUUAGAUUUUUGUUUUCAAUUAUGGAAUGUGACAAACUUGAUUGAGUUGAUUGGCGGGAAGACGGGACAGGAGGUGGAUUUCUAGUAGUACAGGGAGGAACUAGUGGUGGUUGACUGCCGUCAUGGUUCGCGGGGGUGUUUGCAAGUGAAAUACAAGUAUGCAACCCAAGAGGGGGGUGAAUUGGGAUUCUAAAAAAUUAUUCAAUUUAUUAAAGAAAAUCUCAAUGCAAUUAUAAAUCAAAUUCAAGGCAAUAACAAUUAAGAUGAUCACAAUAUAAAAAGAUAAGGGAAGAGGGAUUCAAACACCGAGAUUUUUACGUGGUUCGGCCAACCUCGCCUACGUCCACGCCUCCAAGCUUUCUAAGCUUGAGGAUUCCACUAAGCAAGCCUCCAAGGCUUCAAAUGCUUACACUUGACUUCCAAGGUGUCAAUGGACCUUUACAACAAGAGAUUAUCCCCAAUCUUUUAACCCAAGUGUAUCUCAACACUUACAAUCACUCAAAGUAAAAGAUUACAAACUGUUUUGCCUCUCACAAUAUAUAAGAUUACACAAUGAUGCUUAAUAUGUGAAUAGAUGAAGCAAGAAUGUGUUCUAAGCUCUAUGAAGAUUGUAUUCUCGAAUAUUAGCUCAAAUGGUCGUGUUGUGAUCAACCUUCUUUGAAUUUGAAUGAGCUUAUUUAUAUUUGGAGCUGAAAAUCUAGCCGUUACAAACUGUCGGACAGAAAACUGUUCGCCGUUAACCAUUAACGGUUAACCGUUUAGGCUGGUCAAAGUUACCGUUGGGCCAAUUUUCAAAUAAACGGUUAGUCGUUUAGGCUUAACCUUUCGCCGUUAACUUCCAGAGAGCUGCAAGAUAAACAUUGGUUAUUCGUUUACACUAAACAGUUAAGGACUUGCGUGAAGUGGCUUCUCUGAAUAUUAUCGGUUAACCGUUUGAAAUAAACGGAUCGUCGUUUGUCUCCAGUAACCUGCAAAAUGAACAUCAGUUAUCCGUUUUCAUUAAGCGGUUAAGGGAUUGCAGGAAGUGGCUUCUCUGGAUAUUAUCGGUUGACCGUUUAAAAUAAACGGUUCGCCGUUUGGCUUCAGUAAUCUGCAAAAUAAUUUAGCCCUAUCAGUUAUCGUUAAUCAAUGCCAGAGGAGGACAACCUUCAAUUCUGGACGUUAUCGGUUAACCGUUUAAAAUAAACGGUUCACCAUUAGGUUCCAGUAGCCUUCCCAUCUUUAGUGUUUUCCGUUAAACAUAAACGGCUAGAGCUUAGGCAAUAUGUUGCUCUCUGGUGCUAAUCGGUUAACCGUUUAAAAGAAAACGGUUUACCGUUAAUUUCCAGUAACCUCCCCAUCUUUUGUGUUUUCCGUUUUUCAUAAACGGUUAGAGGUUUAGGAAAUGUGUAGCUCUCUGCCUUUAAUCGGUUAACCGUUUUAAAUAAACGGUUCACCGUUUAUAACCAGAAUUGCAAUUUUAAACAAGUUUUUGCAGAGAAUCUCUUUCUAAUUUGAAAAUCCAUCUUUUAUGAAGAAAUAAGGCAAUGAUUAAAAGGGCUUUCGUUUAUUAAGAAAUAGCUCCAAUAUUUUUGUCAAAAACCAUAUAAAAUUUGUUAUCAUCAAAAUCAAUAUUAUUAACAUAUUCAUGUUAACAGCAAGAUCAUUUAUUGGUUACAACAACUACGUUAAAGCGUUUGGUGCUGGAGAAUGGUUGUUGUUUGGUUAAUUGGUUCAAUGAAAAAGAAAAUGAUGAAGUUCAUGAAAGAGAAAUUGAACCUAAUAGCCACUGGGUAUUGAUGUGUAUCAGUGAGCAAAACUCGGAUCCUCGGUUUUGUUUAUUUUUCAUUUGUUCAUGAUAAAGUUCAUGAAAGAGAAAUUGAAGCUAAUAACCACUGGGUAUUGAUGUGUAUCAGUGAGCAAAAGUCAGAUCUCGGGUUUUGUUUAAUUUUUAUUUUUUCAAGUUUGUUUUAAAAUUACAAAUUUACCCACAAAUACUAAAGAUAUACAAAACGUUAUACUAACGCCAAAAGAGGUUUGUGUAAUUACGGUCAUACGUUCUCUUAGACUGUUAAUGCGUUAAACCUCAGGAGAGGUCCUUAAAACUUACCCAUUUUUAUUGGUUAACGUUUACUAUUACAGGCUAUUUACUAGGAAAAAGCGCCACGCGAACCAAUGAAUUUGAAAAGGAGUGCAAAAAGACUAAACUACCCUUCGAAGUAUUUAAACUACGUGACUAUUCUUUAUCACUACAAGAAAAAGGAGAUAACACGACAAGAAUUUAACAAAAUGUGUGUUGUGACGUUGCAGAAUCUGAUAUUCAAUAACUUUUCAAAAUUGUGUUGCUAAAAAUUUAAUUUUAACAACAUAUUUCAUCGCGCGUUGUUAAAUAUAUUAUUAUAAUAAUUUUAUGAUUGUGGUGGAUUUUAAAGAUAAAAUGAUAAUUUAUAAACUAAGCUCGUUUUUAAAAGUUUCAUCUUAAUGUUGUUAAUAAAAGUACACCACAACGUUCUUCUUGUUCAUUGUCAUUUAUAUUCAAUACUGUAUUUCUUGGUAUGUUAUGAAAUCACGUUGUUGGUUACAUUUAUCACCAUUUUUUUAUGUCUAUAAUAAUAAUAAAGCAAUCAAUUUCAAAUAAUAAGUGGUUUUUUAUAUA
rnacentral:lncRNA from 1 species